GCCGUAGAAGCCUUGGCGGUGAGGCACCAGGUUUCCACCCUGGCUAACGGAGUUCGACUCUCCGCUACGGCU
rnacentral:tRNA from 1 species